rnacentral:misc_RNA from 1 species
GAUGAAGAACGUAGCUAAAUGCGAUAAGUAAUGCGAAUUGCAGAAUUUCCGUGAGUCAUCGAAUCUUUGAACGCACAUUGCGCCCACUGGUAUUCCGGUGGGCAUGCCUGUUCGAGCGUCAUUAUCCUCCCUCAAACCCCGGGUUUGGUGUUGGACCCAAGUUGUGUGAACAACUGGUCUCAAAGACAAUGACGGCGUCCGUGGGACCCUCGGUGCAACGAGCUUUUAGGAGCACGCAUCGAGUUGCAAGGACCUUCCGGGCCGGUCUCCUUUACCAUUUUACAAGGUUGACCUCGGAUCAGGUAGGAAUACCCGCUGAACUUAAGCAUAUCAAUAAGCGGAGGA